AGAGUUUGAUCCUGGCUCAGGAUGAACGCUGGCGGCGUGCCUAAUACGUGCAAGUCGAGCGGUAAGGCUCCUGCAGUUUGUUUAAUCGUAUAAGCUCAACCUAAGGCUAGGGAGAGUUGAUUGAAUGAAGUGCUGGAGUACACGAGCGGCGGACGGCUGAGUAACACGUAGGAACGUACCCCAAAGUGAGGCAUAAGCACCAGAAAUGGUGUCUAAUACCGCAUGUGAUCUUCGGAUUAAAGCUUCGGCGCUUUGGGAACGGCCUGCGCAUGAUUAGCUUGUUGGUGAGGUAAUAGCUCACCAAGGCGACGAUCAUUAGCUGGUCUGAGAGGAUGAUCAGCCAGACUGGGACUGAGACACGGCCCAGACUCCUACGGGAGGCAGCAGUAGGGAAUCUUCCACAAUGGGCGAAAGCCUGAUGGAGCAACGCCGCGUGCAGGAUGAAGGCCUUCGGGUUGUAAACUGCUUUUAUCUGUGAAGAUUAUGACGGUAGCAGAUGAAUAAGGAUCGGCUAACUCCGUGCCAGCAGCCGCGGUCAUACGGAGGAUCCAAGCGUUAUCCGGAAUUACUGGGCGUAAAGAGUUGCGUAGGUGGCAUAGUAAGUAGAUAGUGAAAUCCUGGGGCUCAACCCUUUACACAUUAUCUAAACUACUAAGCUAGAGGACGAGAGAGGUUAUUGGAAUUCCUAGUGUAGGAGUGAAAUCCGUAGAUAUUAGGAGGAACACCGAUGGCGUAGGCAGAUAACUGGCUCGUUCCUGACACUAAGGCACGAAAGCGUGGGGAGCAAACGGGAUUAGAUACCCUAGUAGUCC
rnacentral:rRNA from 1 species